ACCUGGAGCUUGAGGUGUGAGGAAACACCUGUCACAGACACCUUCCUGUUGUCCGAGGAGAAGGAGAUCCAUUUCUGCUGGGAGGAAGCCCCCUCUGCCUGCCACUGCAGCUCCCCGCUCAGGUUUUCGUCUGCGAAGGAACCAAGGCAGAACGUUGCCAGAUGGCCGAACCACAGAACCGGUCCAAACCAGAAAGGUCCAAGAUGGCGAUGGGGUGCCAUAUACAAAAGGAAACGUGUGCACAAGCAUUAUUUACAAUAGCCAAGACUUGGAAAGAACCUAAGUGCCCAUCGAUGGAC